rnacentral:rRNA from 1 species
GUUGUAUGGUUAAGUGACUAAGCGUACACGGUGGAUGCCUUGGCAGUCAGAGGCGAUGAAAGACGUAGUAACUUGCGAUAAGCCCAGAUUAGGUAGUAACAACCAUUUGAGUCUGGGAUUUCUGAAUGGGGAAACCCACKURCAUAAGYAMGUAUCMUUAMCUGAAUACAUAGGKUAAKGAGGCGAACCGGGGGAACUGAAACAUCUAAGUACCCCGAGGAAAAGAAAUCAACCGAGAUUCCGAAAGUAGCGGCGAGCGAAAUUGGACUAGCCCUUAAGCUUUACACGCGUUAGACGAACGGUCUGGAAAGUCCGACGAUACAGGGUGAUAGUCCCGUAGUUGACGACGUGUGUUCAGUGAAAUCGAGUAGGGCGGGACACGUGAUAUCCUGUCUGAAUAUGGGGGGACCAUCCUCCAAGGCUAAAUACUACUGACUGACCGAUAGUGAACCAGUACCGUGAGGGAAAGGCGAAAAGAACCCCUGUGAGGGGAGUGAAAUAGAACCUGAAACCGUGUACGUACAAGCAGUAGGAGCACCUUCGUGGUGUGACUGCGUACCUUUUGUAUAAUGGGUCAGCGACUUAUAUUCAGUGGCAAGGUUAACCAUCUAGGGGAGCCGUAGGGAAACCGAGUCUUAACUGGGCGUUCAGUCUCUGGAUAUAGACCCGAAACCAGGUGAUCUAGCCAUGGGCAGGUUGAAGGUUGAGUAACAUCAACUGGAGGACCGAACCGACUAAUGUUGAAAAAUUAGCGGAUGACUUGUGGCUAGGGGUGAAAGGCCAAUCAAACCUGGAGAUAGCUGGUUCUCCCCGAAAGCUAUUUAGGUAGCGCCUCGGACGAAUACUACUGGGGGUAGAGCACUGUUAAGGCUAGGGGGUCAUCCCGACUUACCAACCCUUUGCAAACUCCGAAUACCAGUAAGUACUAUCCGGGAGACACACGGCGGGUGCUAACGUCCGUCGUGGAGAGGGAAACAACCCAGACCGCCAGCUAAGGUCCCAAAUUACUACUAAGUGGGAAACGAUGUGGGAAGGCUCAGACAGCCAGGAUGUUGGCUUAGAAGCAGCCAUCAUUUAAAGAAAGCGUAAUAGCUCACUGGUCGAGUCGGCCUGCGCGGAAGAUGUAACGGGGCUAAGUAGUAAACCGAAGCUGCGGCAAUGYRCUUUUGYRCAUUGGGUAGGGGAGCGUUCUGUAAGCGGUUGAAGGUGUGUGGUAACGCAUGCUGGACGUAUCAGAAGUGCGAAUGCUGACAUGAGUAACGAUAAAGGGGGUGAAAAACCUCCUCGCCGGAAGACCAAGGGUUCCUGUCCAACGUUAAUCGGGGCAGGGUAAGUCGACCCCUAAGGCGAGGCCGAAAGGCGUAGUCGAUGGGAAACGGGUUAAUAUUCCCGUACUUCUUACAAUUGCGAUGGGGGGACGGAGAAGGCUAGGUGGGCCUGGCGACGGUUGUCCAGGUUCAAGUGCGUAGGCUUAAGAGUUAGGUAAAUCCGGCUCUUUUUAAGGCUGAGACACGACGUCGAGCACCUACGGGUGUGAAGUCAUUGAUGCCAUGCUUCCAGGAAAAGCCUCUAAGCUUCAGAUUGUAAGGAAUCGUACCCCAAACCGACACAGGUGGUCGGGUAGAGAAUACCAAGGCGCUUGAGAGAACUCGGGUGAAGGAACUAGGCAAAAUGGUACCGUAACUUCGGGAGAAGGUACGCUCUUGAUGGUGAAGUCCCUUGCGGAUGGAGCUGACGAGAGUCGCAGAUACCAGGUGGCUGCAACUGUUUAUUAAAAACACAGCACUGUGCAAAAUCGUAAGAUGACGUAUACGGUGUGACGCCUGCCCGGUGCCGGAAGGUUAAUUGAUGGGGUUAGACUUCGGUCGAAGCUCUUGAUCGAAGCCCCGGUAAACGGCGGCCGUAACUAUAACGGUCCUAAGGUAGCGAAAUUCCUUGUCGGGUAAGUUCCGACCUGCACGAAUGGCGUAAUGAUGGCCACGCUGUCUCCACCCGAGACUCAGUGAAAUUGAAAUCGCUGUGAAGAUGCAGUGUACCCGCGGCUAGACGGAAAGACCCCGUGAACCUUUACUACAGCUUGGCACUGAACAUUGACCCUACAUGUGUAGGAUAGGUGGGAGGCUUUGAAGCACGUACGCCAGUAUGUGUGGAGCCGUCCUUGAAAUACCACCCUUGUAGUGUUGAUGUUCUAACGUCGACCCCUAAUCGGGGUUACGGACAGUGCCUGGUGGGUAGUUUGACUGGGGCGGUCUCCUCCCAAAGAGUAACGGAGGAGCACGAAGGUGGGCUAAUCACGGUUGGACAUCGUGAGGUUAGUGCAAUGGCAUAAGCCCGCUUGACUGCGAGAAUGACAAUUCGAGCAGGUGCGAAAGCAGGUCAUAGUGAUCCGGUGGUUCUGAAUGGAAGGGCCAUCGCUCAACGGAUAAAAGGUACUCCGGGGAUAACAGGCUGAUACCGCCCAAGAGUUCAUAUCGACGGCGGUGUUUGGCACCUCGAUGUCGGCUCAUCACAUCCUGGGGCUGAAGUCGGUCCCAAGGGUAUGGCUGUUCGCCAUUUAAAGUGGUACGCGAGCUGGGUUUAGAACGUCGUGAGACAGUUCGGUCCCUAUCUGCCGUGGGCGUUGGAAGAUUGAAGGGGGCUGCUCCUAGUACGAGAGGACCGGAGUGGACGAACCUCUGGUGUUCGGGUUGUGUCGCCAGACGCAUUGCCCGGUAGCUAAGUUCGGAAUCGAUAACCGCUGAAAGCAUCUAAGCGGGAAGCGAGCCCUGAGAUGAGUCUUCCCUGAUACUUUAAGUAUCCUAAAGGGUUGUCGGAGACUACGACGUUGAUAGGUCAGGUGUGUAAGUGCUGUGAGGCAUUGAGCUAACUGAUACUAAUUGCCCGUGAGGCUUAACCAUACAACACCCAAGGGGUUU